rnacentral:rRNA from 1 species
UACGAAGGGGGCUAGCGUUGUUCGGAAUUACUGGGCGUAAAGGGCGCGUAGGCGGUCUUGUAAGUCAGGCGUGAAAGGCCCGGGCUCAACCUGGGGACUGCGCUUGAUACUGCGGGGCUUGAAUCCGGGAGAGGAUGGCGGAAUUCCCAGUGUAGAGGUGAAAUUCGUAGAUAUUGGGAAGAACACCGGUGGCGAAGGCGGCCAUCUGGCCCAGUACUGACACUCAAGUGCGAAAGCGUGGGGAGCAAACAGG